rnacentral:rRNA from 1 species
CAGCCGCCGCGGGAAUACGAAGGGUGCAAGCGUUAAUCGGAAUUACUGGGCGUAAAGCGUGCGUAGGCGGUUUGUUAAGUCUGCUGUGAAAUCCCCGGGCUCAACCUGGGAAUGGCAGUGGAUACUGGCAAGCUAGAGUGUGCCAGAGGAUGGUGGAAUUCCCGGUGUAGCGGUGAAAUGCGUAGAGAUCGGGAGGAACAUCAGUGGCGAAGGCGGCCAUCUGGGACAACACUGACGCUGAGGCACGAAAGCGUGGGGAGCAAACAGGAUUAGAUACCCCAGUAGUCCCUGUCUCUUAUAC